AUGGCUAAAUACUGGUGGAGUAGCUCUCUGGACAAAAGGUCUUUGCACUGGAUUUCCUGGAAGGCGCUUGCAUCCCCCAAAGUCAAUGGUGGAAUGGGAUUUUGAGACAUGGAACUCUACAAUUUAGCGCUUCUUGGCAAGCAUGGUUGGAGGUUCAUGGUCAAUCCCGAUUCCUUGUGUGCCCGUGUCAUGAAGGGCAGAUACUUUCCAAAUUCAAAUUUUAUGCAAUCUACUAUUCCACAGUCUGCUUCUCCUAUUUGGCGAGCGAUUGUGGCCGGACGGGAGGCUCUUUGGUCGGACAUGAUCAUGCGUGUCAGCGAUGGUUGUUCUAUAUCAAUUUGGGAUGACAAAUGGAUCCCAGGUACCAUACGUAUGUCCCCUAUGCUCAGACCAACUAAUACAUCUCUACAAUCAGCACGAACUCAUUGA
rnacentral:rRNA from 1 species